AAAUAUGUAAAUAUAUUUGUGUUUGGAUAGAGAGUUUAGAGCAUUCCCAUCCGGUUCCCUAAAUGUUUCCGUAACUUGUAGCUAAAAAGGACACUCCUUAUAAUUUUAUCUUAAAUUUUACUCAUCUUAAAAAAACCUUCUACAUCUCAUUCCCUCUCAUUUCUCUACUCUAUUAAAAUAUUAUUCUUCUAUUAUUUUUUUAUUACUUUUUUCUCUCAGUU